rnacentral:misc_RNA from 1 species
UCCGAGUUGACCCCGGCAGUCUCCUGCGAGUCCCCGCCAUUACGCGCUGGCAACACAGGACAAGGGUUGCGCUCGUUGCGGGACUUAACCCAACAUCUCACGACACGAGCUGACGACAGCCAUGCACCACCUGUCACGGGCCCUAAUGGACACUACGUUUCCGCAGCUUUUCCCGUGAUGUCAAACCCAGGUAAGGUUCUUCGGGUUGCAUCGAAUUAAGCCGCAUGCUCCGCCGCUUGUGCGGGGACCCGUCAAUUCCUUUGAGUUUUAGCCUUGCGGCCGUACUCCCCAGGCGGGAUACUUAAUGCGUUAGCUUCGGCACGGCAUCCGUUGAUCGGGACGCCACACCUAGUAUCCAACGUUUACGGCAUGGACUAC